rnacentral:rRNA from 1 species
UGACCCGUCUUGAAACACGGACCAAGGAGUCUAGCGUGUGCGCGAGUCAUUGGGAUAACACUAAACCUAAAGGCGCAAUGAAAGUGAAAGUUCGUCUUGCACGAACAGAGGGAAGACGGUCGGUCUCGAUGACCGGCCCGCACUCCCGGGGCGUCUCAUUCUCAUUGCGAGAGGAGGCGCACCAAGAGCGUACACGCUGGGACCCGAAAGAUGGUGAACUAUGCCUGGUCAGGACGAAGUCAGGGGAAACCCUGAUGGAGGUCCGUAGCGAUUCUGACGUGCAAAUCGAUCGUGAACUGGGUAU